rnacentral:lncRNA from 13 species
GCUGCUCUAAGCAACUUUGUUGGACACCUCUUUCCACAUCAUAGCUCUGUUCUGGGCUGCUGCCAUUCUGCCUUAUUAUGGCUAAGCACCAAACAUUGAACCAGUGUCCACUUUGAAAUCCCCAAAGUACAACACCCACCAGAUUAUGUUAUUUAACAUUUUACUAUGGCUUAGGAUGAUCAGAGGUGAACUGCAAUGCAAAAAAAGAAAACAAAACAAAACAAAAUUAAAAAUUCACUACUCACAUAGAAUCCAACCUUAUAUUCGUCCCCCAGAAGAUUUCCUACCAUCCCUCUUUUAAGCCUCCCCAUGCUACUCCAUCCCCUGCUUUCAGCCUGCACCAUGUUCCAGGAUUCAGAUCAUCUGCCAAGUCUAUUGGAAUUACAGAAACAAACCAGUGAGUUGUCUGCAAAUAUCUUGCCCCAGGUGGUGCCCCAACCCAAUGGAGUGAGAUGGACUGUGGUGAAUGGACAUGUUGGGGGUAAAAGCACUUUAUGGAGAGAUGACGUUUAAACUGAGAAAGGAGGAUGAGAAGGAGCUAGCCAACUGAAGAGAAUAUGUGAAAGAUUAUCAUGGUGAAAGCAAAGAAAAUGAAUAAAAGUGAAAAGGCUUGAGAUAAAUUAUGGAAG